rnacentral:rRNA from 1 species
UUGGACAGCCAUGCCACCCUGAAUGUGCCUGAUCUCGUCUGAUUUUGGAAGCUAAGCAGGGUUGGGCCUGGUUAGUACUUGGAUGGCAGACCACCUAGGAAGACCAGGUGUUGUAGGCA